CCCGCAGCUCGCCCUUCUCUUCCGGCCCGGUGGCGGCGGUACAACCAUGGCCAAGUCCAAGAACCACACCACGCACAACCAGUCCCGGAAAUGGCACAGAAAUGGCAUCAAGAAACCCAGGUCCCAUAGAUACGAAUCUCUCAAAGGGGUUGAUCCCAAGUUUCUGAGGAACAUGAGAUUUGCAAAAAAACACAACAAAAAGGGGCUGAAGAAGAUGCAGGCCAACAAUGCCAAGCAGGCUGCUCAGCAGAAAAAGGACUGACGUGGUUCAAGAUAGAAGCAGCAGUUUUCCUGUUGGCAUGUGUGUUACAACGUUUUUAUAAAAAUAAAACUGGG